rnacentral:rRNA from 1 species
UACGAAGGGGGCUAGCGUUACUCGGAUUGACUGGGCGUAAAGGGCGCGUAGGCGGCUUGUACAGUCAGACGUGAAAUUCCUGGGCUCAACCUGGGGGCUGCGUUUGAUACGUGCGGGCUUGAGUUCGGAAGAGGGUCGUGGAAUUCCCAGUGUAGAGGUGAAAUUCGUAGAUAUUCGCAAGAACACCAGUGGCGAAGGCGGCUCACUGGCCCGGUACUGACGCUGAGGCACGAAAGCGUGGGGAGCAAACAGG